rnacentral:rRNA from 1 species
AGAACUUUGAAGAGAGAGUUAAACAGUACGUGAAACCGUUCGGGGGUAAACGGACAGAGCCCGUGAAUCCGGGUGACGGAAUUCAGAAUCGAUGGCGUUCCUCGCGUCGUCGUCGGUUCGAUAUUUCCGUCGCCGUUAUGUAAAAACGGACGUCGCGACCCGUUCGGUGUUGGUCCGAGGAGACGCGUGUUAAAGUUUGUCGGCGCGUCGUCGAAUCGUUUCGGCGGCUAGGCGCGUGCCGGCGAGUACGCGUUCGUUUUUCUGGCCGACUUGCCGGACGGUAAGCGUAACGGUGGCCGCGGCGAUCUUUUUUUUUUCGAGCGUCGUCGCGGUGCCGGUCUGCGACGAAUCUUCGGGCCUCUUUCCGACCCGUCUUGAAACACGGACCAAGGAGUCUAAUGUGCGCGCGAGUCGCGGGGUGUCGAGCGGUCGGUGAGCGUUCUCUUUGCGGGGAGCGUUUGUUCGGCCGUUCGUUACAAUACGAAACCCGUUUCGUUUUUUACGAAAGGCGCAAUGAAAGUGAAUUUUGGGGAAGAUGACGUUUUACCGAGUACACGUUUCGCGCUCUCGUAGCGCGGCCGGUCGUCCGCAUUCCCAGGGCGUCCCGUCGCAUCGGCGGCGUUGCGGAUCGUCGUCUCUUCGGAGGCGGCGGUCGGACGUCGCCGGACAGGGGCGCACCUAUAGCGUGCACGUUGGUACCCGAAAGAUGGUGAACUAUGCCCGGCCAGGAUGAAGUCAGGGGAAACCCUGAUGGAGGUCCGCAGCGAUUCUGACGUGCAAAUCGAUCGUCUGAGCUGGGUAUAGGGGCGAAAGACUAAUCGAACCAUC